GGUUAAGCGACUAAGCGUACACGGUGGAUGCCCUGGCAGUCAGAGGCGAUGAAGGACGUGCUAAUCUGCGAAAAGCGCCGGCGAGGUGAUAUGAACCUUUGACCCGGCGAUGUCCGAAUGGGGAAACCCAGUGCAAUUCGUUGCACUAUCGUUAACUGAAUACAUAGGUUAACGAGGCGAACCGGGGGAACUGAAACAUCUAAGUACCCCGAGGAAAAGAAAUCAACCGAGAUUCCCCCAGUAGCGGCGAGCGAACGGGGAGCAGCCCGGAGUCUGAAUCAGCUUGUGUGUUAGUGGAACGGUCUGGAAAGUCCGACGGUACAGGGUGAUAGUCCCGUACACGAAAGCACACAUGCUGUGAACUCGAAGAGUAGGGCGGGACACGUGGUAUCCUGUCUGAAUAUGGGGGGACCAUCCUCCAAGGCUAAAUACUCCUGACUGACCGAUAGUGAACCAGUACCGUGAGGGAAAGGCGAAAAGAACCCCGGCGAGGGGAGUGAAAAAGAACCUGAAACCGUGUACGUACAAGCAGUGGGAGCACCUUCGUGGUGUGACUGCGUACCUUUUGUAUAAUGGGUCAGCGACUUAUAUUCUGUAGCAAGGUUAACCGUAUAGGGGAGCCGAAGGGAAACCGAGUCUUAACUGGGCGUUAAGUUGCAGGGUAUAGACCCGAAACCCGGUGAUCUAGCCAUGGGCAGGUUGAAGGUUGGGUAACACUAACUGGAGGACCGAACCGACUAAUGUUGAAAAAUUAGCGGAUGACCUGUGGCUGGGGGUGAAAGGCCAAUCAAACCGGGAGAUAGCUGGUUCUCCCCGAAAGCUAUUUAGGUAGCGCCUCGUGAACUCAUCUUCGGGGGUAGAGCACUGUUUCGGCUAGGGGGCCAUCCCGGCUUACCAACCCGAUGCAAACUACGAAUACCGAAGAAUGUUAUCACGGGAGACACACGGCGGGUGCUAACGUCCGUCGUGAAGAGGGAAACAACCCAGACCGCCAGCUAAGGUCCCAAAGUCAUGGUUAAGUGGGAAACGAUGUGGGAAGGCACAGACAGCCAGGAUGUUGGCUUAGAAGCAGCCAUCAUUUAAAGAAAGCGUAAUAGCUCACUGGUCGAGUCGGCCUGCGCGGAAGAUGUAACGGGGCUAAACCAUGCACCGAAGCUGCGGCAGCGACACUUAUGUGUUGUUGGGUAGGGGAGCGUUCUGUAAGCCGUUGAAGGUGUGCUGUGAGGCAUGCUGGAGGUAUCAGAAGUGCGAAUGCUGACAUAAGUAACGAUAAAGCGGGUGAAAAGCCCGCUCGCCGGAAGACCAAGGGUUCCUGUCCAACGUUAAUCGGGGCAGGGUGAGUCGACCCCUAAGGCGAGGCCGAAAGGCGUAGUCGAUGGGAAACAGGUUAAUAUUCCUGUACUUGGUGUUACUGCGAAGGGGGGACGGAGAAGGCUAUGUCAGCCGGGCGACGGUUGUCCCGGUUUAAGCAUGUAGGCGGAGGUUCCAGGUAAAUCCGGUACCUUUUAACGCUGAGGUGUGAUGACGAGGCACUACGGUGCUGAAGUGAUAAAUGCCCUGCUUCCAGGAAAAGCCUCUAAGCAUCAGGUAACACGAAAUCGUACCCCAAACCGACACAGGUGGUCAGGUAGAGAAUACCAAGGCGCUUGAGAGAACUCGGGUGAAGGAACUAGGCAAAAUGGUGCCGUAACUUCGGGAGAAGGCACGCUGAUAUGUAGGUGAAGCCCCUGCGGGUGGAGCUGAAAUCAGUCGAAGAUACCAGCUGGCUGCAACUGUUUAUUAAAAACACAGCACUGUGCAAACACGAAAGUGGACGUAUACGGUGUGACGCCUGCCCGGUGCCGGAAGGUUAAUUGAUGGGGUUAGCGGCAACGCGAAGCUCUUGAUCGAAGCCCCGGUAAACGGCGGCCGUAACUAUAACGGUCCUAAGGUAGCGAAAUUCCUUGUCGGGUAAGUUCCGACCUGCACGAAUGGCGUAAUGAUGGCCAGGCUGUCUCCACCCGAGACUCAGUGAAAUUGAACUCGCUGUGAAGAUGCAGUGUACCCGCGGCAAGACGGAAAGACCCCGUGAACCUUUACUAUAGCUUGACACUGAACACUGGUCCUUGAUGUGUAGGAUAGGUGGGAGGCUUUGAAGCGUGGACGCCAGUCUGCGUGGAGCCAACCUUGAAAUACCACCCUUUAAUGGCUGGUGUUCUAACGUAGACCCGUAAUCCGGGUUGCGGACAGUGUCUGGUGGGUAGUUUGACUGGGGCGGUCUCCUCCCAAAGAGUAACGGAGGAGCACGAAGGUUGGCUAAUCCUGGUCGGACAUCAGGAGGUUAGUGCAAUGGCAUAAGCCAGCUUGACUGCGAGCGUGACGGCGCGAGCAGGUGCGAAAGCAGGUCAUAGUGAUCCGGUGGUUCUGAAUGGAAGGGCCAUCGCUCAACGGAUAAAAGGUACUCCGGGGAUAACAGGCUGAUACCGCCCAAGAGUUCAUAUCGACGGCGGUGUUUGGCACCUCGAUGUCGGCUCAUCACAUCCUGGGGCUGAAGUAGGUCCCAAGGGUAUGGCUGUUCGCCAUUUAAAGUGGUACGCGAGCUGGGUUUAGAACGUCGUGAGACAGUUCGGUCCCUAUCUGCCGUGGGCGCUGGAGAAUUGAGGGGGGCUGCUCCUAGUACGAGAGGACCGGAGUGGACGCAUCACUGGUGUUCGGGUUGUCAUGCCAAUGGCACUGCCCGGUAGCUAAAUGCGGAAGAGAUAAGUGCUGAAAGCAUCUAAGCACGAAACUUGCCCCGAGAUGAGUUCUCCCUGAGACUUUAAGUCUCCUGAAGGAACGUUGAAGACGACGACGUUGAUAGGUCGGGUGUGUAAGCGCAGCGAUGCGUUGAGCUAACCGAUACUAAUGAACCGUGAGGCUUAACCUU
rnacentral:rRNA from 1 species